AUAACGACUCUCGGCAACGGAUAUSUCGGCUCUCGCAUCGAUGAAGAACGUAGCGAAAUGCGAUACUUGGUGUGAAUUGCAGAAUCCCGUGAACCAUCGAGUCUUUGAACGCAAGUUGCGCCCGAAGCCAUUUGGCCGAGGGCACGUCUGCCUGGGCGUCACGC
rnacentral:rRNA from 1 species